rnacentral:piRNA from 1 species
UCACUUUUUUCAAGAACUUAA